rnacentral:misc_RNA from 1 species
AGAAAGGUGAGAUGAGAGGAGGGGGCGGCUUCAUAAGAGAAAUUAGGGUUACUCCCCAUUUCAAAAAAGACUUUUGAUGAUAGGGAUGAGCAUAAUUUUCCAUGGUAGGCUAUAAUUUAAUUACGCUAUAAUUUUCCAUGGUAGGCUAGGCAUCUGGUGACGGAAGUCAUAAAUCGCCAUUGCCUGAGCUUUACCCUGCAAACUCUAUGCCAGAUUGGGCAAAUAUGCCUAAUGUAAGCAUGAAGGAGACGAAAGAUCUAGCAAUCUCAUUGAAGCCAAGAAUCACCAGAACCUAGCCUUCC